UUUUAAUGACAUUUCCUGGUGUUCGAUCGAGUCAAAAAACUUCGAAUACUCGAAAUAGCUUUUAAUUGAAAAGGAGAUUAGUCUGCCUGGUAGCCUCGUCGCCUCAGAAGACCAUGUCUAGGGGGAACAACUGAAGGGGUCCGGUGAAGAGCUCCAACUUGCACACACCACGGCUCGUUUGUCAUGACGCACAGCAAUUUUACAAUAUUCGAUUCAAUUCCUUUAAACUGGAAUAUUUUCUCAGUAGAGCUGCUUUUAACCUCUUAGUUGCGCC